rnacentral:rRNA from 1 species
UACGUAGGGACCAAGCGUUGUUCGGAUUUACUGGGCGUAAAGGGCGCGUAGGCGGCGUGACAAGUCACUUGUGAAAUCUCUGGGCUUAACCCAGAACGGCCAAGUGAAACUGUUGUGCUAGAGUGCAGAAGGGGCAAUCGGAAUUCUCGGUGUAGCGGUGAAAUGCGUAGAUAUCGAGAGGAACACCAACGGCGAAGGCAGCUCGCUGGGACGGUACUGACGCUGGAGACGCGAAAGCCGUGGGGAGCGAACAGG